UAGCCACAUUAGGCAAUUCCGUAAUCUUAUUUAAGGAAAUAAUGAAGCACAUUAAUAAUGUAUUUAUUGUGGUUUAAUAAAAAGCUUAUUAUAUAUUUAGAUGGACCAACCUAUUUCUCUAAGGAUUCUAAGACUCAUUCUAGUGAUGACACGUGACUACAAAAAAUGUUACAAUGCUUCUCAAAUAAUAUAUAGGGGAUACUGUAAUUAGCAUUUGUAUCAGGACAGAAUAUUAUAAGGAACAUGGAGGAUGGUUUCACAAUUAGGAAACCCUCCAGGAUCCACUCACGUGCUUGUGCAAGGAGUUUAAACGAGGCAAAGAGAAAAGGUUGUCACUCUGGAUAUGGUAAAAAGUCUCACGAGAUUUCCUACCUGAAAGAUCUUUUUGUCGUGUAUUGUCUUUUGAAAACCACUUCAACGUUUCUUGGUCUUUAGGCAAGAGACGGACCAAGGUCUUGUUGUGGAUAAAGAGAAUGAGGGUGUCGAGGCGUUUUCUUAGCAAGUUCCGUGAGACAAACAAGAUCGACAAGCACAUCUAGCGCGAUAUGUAUACAUAAAAGCCAAGUGUAUAAAAAGAGAAGAUUGUAUAAAAAGAGUAACAGUAACUAUUUUAGGUCACAGAAUUCAAUCAUGUGUAUCAUAACUCAAAAAUACAAAUAUAACAAAUUAAAAAACAACAGUUCUGUGUGGUUGGAGAAGAAAUAACGAUCAAUACAAUUUCAACUAGAAUUUGAUUUGCGCACGGCGCACCGCAAUGUUUUACAUUAUUUAUAAAUCAAAGUUAAGAUUGAUUAUCCUUUUUUUGUCCUUGCAUGGUUUGGUUGUUCAUAUGUUAUAUAAGUCAUUUGUUAUUUGAUAUAAGUCAUUUGUUAUUUGAUAAUCUUUUACAAAAUGGACAAUUUUUCUAUCGUAUCCCUUAUAUACUAAAGCACAAGUCACUUGGCUAAUUAGAUUUUGACACAUGGAUCCUAUUUUAUUAAAGAUUACAAAUUAUGUAUAAAAUAAUUAAAGCAAAAAUAAAAAAAUAAAAAAGGUGAAGAGAACGCACGAUCUUUAACAAUUGAAUCCAAUCCAGUAAUCUCUUCCAACGGUUCUUCUUGCCCACACUCCACGAUCACCAUUCAUAUCAGUGUCUUAUAACUACCUUCAUUCCAUCAUUUAUACUUCUCCAAUGUCUUUCUAUGCUCUCUCUUACUCAAAUCCACCCAACAUUUCUUCUCUGAGAUAAAUUAGUAUUUGGUAUAUCAUCUCAUAUUGUUUUUUCUUGCCCAGUUUUUCGGGAUCUCACUUUUCUCUCUACUUUUUCCAUGACAGCAUUUGUACAGGGAGCUUUGCUAAGAUGCAAAGUUUAUCUUAGAAGAACUCAGGUUUGAAUCUUUUUUCUUCCCAAAUAUGUAAAUCUGAGACAGAGGAAAUGCAAUAAAACGUUUUUAUGAAAGUGUAUACCUCUGCUUCCAAUAAAAACAAGAGAGAAUAAGAACAAAGUAUUGUUGGGUCAGUCUACAAUCCAGCAAAAGAAAAGCCAAAACAAAUGAAGGAGUUUUCUCUGCAACAAACGGAAUACAAGAACAGAACCACCAAUAAUCUGAAAACAAGUGCUUUCAGAAGAUGGAAAUGCAACAAAAACCUAACACUACAGGGGAAAACAGUAUCAACAACUUCGAUGAUGCAACAAGGUAUUUACAAAUUUUAAGUUCAAAAAAAAAAGAAAACAAGGUAUUUACAAAAAUGUGUGUUAUGGUCUGAGUGCUUCACAAAUCUUUUUUAAAAAUUAUAAUACAGCAAAUCGAAUAUAUUAUAUACAAAUUGAAUAUUCUAAAUAUAUGGAUUCUAUUAUGUUUAGUUUCGUUGUUUUUAUUAUUCAUUAUAUCAAAUCUAAGGAGGUCUAUUUUAAAGAAGAAUUAUUUACAAAAGAAAUAAGAGUUCAAAAAAUAAACGAAUAGAUCAAACGUAAUAUUUUAACUACAUUUCUUGAUGUAUGUACCUUAAUUUUCAAACUCUUUGUUUGAUUAAUGCAGCCACUGCUAAAUGGAGUACUGAGGUAAUCUUUAUAUAUAUAAUAUAAUAAGUAUAUAGGACUCCCAUUAUAUAAUCACUCUCUUACUCUUUUCCAUUAUACAAAUCUAUUUUUUCUUCUUCUUUUUUUGACAAAUGUUUUUUUCUUCUUCCCAAUAGCUUAUCCUUAGGAAACAAAUGAACAAAAUAUUUGGCUGAGUGCGUAUAUUUAAGACAUCAGACCUUAAUACGGGUUGGGAACGUAAAUAUUUUUAACACUUUUCUUUCGGUUAACCAUGGAAUCUUCCAAUGUUUUUUUUUGAGUUUUUUCAGCAAGAAGUGUAUUGGUUUAUAACAGUCAAAUGAUAGGCUAGGUCAUCUUACCACCGAGGAACCUGAAAUUGGCAUAUUGGCGCUGACUAAAAGAUCAAAUGCUAUUUAUUCCAUUCCUUUUAUUUGAACUGAUGAGUUGAUUAUAAAUGUAUUUGAAACCAGUUAUUUGUUCUCUUAUUUGAUCAAUAUAAUACCAAAAAGUAAUACUUAACUAAAAUUGUUUAUUACAUUUUACUCAAAACAUAUUAAAUUAUACGUAAUUAUUGAUUUGUUUUUCUAAUAAAUAAUAUUUGAUUUUGUUUUGUAAUAUGCCUAAAAGAAUUAGUUAACCCGCGCUAUUGCGCGGGCAAAUAUCUAGUUUGUUUAUAAAGCAUAGUCUAUUUUUACAGAUCAAUACAUCUAUCUUUCAAAAAUAUACAUGUUUCACAUAGCAAAUAAUAUGCUAUAAUUUUUACUUAUACUAGUUAAUUUUUCCGUGCACAUGCACAUGGUACAAAAUAUUUAGUAUUUACAAAAUACAAAUAAAAUUAUUAAUAUUAUAAUUAUAAUUUUAAUUAUUUUCUCAUUUAUAUGUAUGAUUUAUUUUAAAUAAUAUUAUAUUAUUUUAAUUAAACAUAACAUGUAAUUAGAUAUAUAAUGAUUCAGUUAUUACUUGGAUAUAUUGAAUUGUAUUUACUUCUCCAAGUUUAACCAUUUUUUAUGCUAAAUAUAUUAAAAUUUUAAUUAUUUUGUUUUUGCCUUUAGAAUUUUGAUUUAGGGCUUAAAAUAUUAGAUUGCUUUAAAUAUUUUUUGGGUUAUAUUGAACUACACAUAUUUCAUCAAAUGGAAGCACAAUUAGUUUUGAUUAUAAUUAAACUAAAUUUGAUUAAUUUUAUUUAUUGCAUUAGUUAAGUUCUUCAUCUUAAAUAUGUAUAUAUAUAUAUUUGUAAACUCUUUUGUAUAAUUUGAUAUUUUUGGAUUUGUAAAAAUAGUAUCAAAAUUGAAAUGAUAAUAAGUAUGAAAUUUUAUUAACAAUUUUUACCAUUAAAGUUUUGAAAAUUCAUGACCAUAUAACAAUAUUUACAAAAAUAAUAUGUUUUUUGUAAAUUCUAAGUAACUUUAUACUUUAGAUGUAUGUAAUCUAAAUUAAAUAAUAUUCUAAAUAAUUUUAAAAUUAAAAAUCCAUAUUGGUUUAUGUAUUCUUAUUAUAUGUAUAUUGAGUUGUAUAAAUAUAUAAAAUUUUAAAAAUAAACAUAAUAAUAUUAAGCUUUAAAGAAUUUUUUUAGUUAGGUUUGAUUAAAGUUUGUAGAUUUUUUAUUUAUGUAGUUUGAUAAAAUCAUACAUAAAAUGUAAAUGAAAACUAAAAAAAACUUAUGAAAAAUGAAUAAACAUCUGAAUAGUAUCAAUUAUGAAAUAUGUUUAAUUCAUCAAUGAUAUUAUAGUACAUGUUAUUAAAUUACUUUUGUAAGAAUCUAAGAAAAUAGUCUGAUAUAAAUAAAAUAUUUUAUUAAUUUUUUGUAACUGAAAAUAUUUUUAUUAAAUUUAAAGUAUAUAUUUUUCUGUGUAUUAAAUUUAAAGUAUAUUAAAUUUAAAGUAUUAAUUUUAUGUUUUAAAGAGAUGAUUAUUUUUUAAACAUCAAAACUGUUUUUCGUAUACUUUUCUUUUGUAAAUCACAUUAUAUAUAAAUUAUAUUUUCCUAAAAUAUGUUUAUUUCCUUAUUUGUAAAUAUAGUUUUUAUUAUAUGAAAUAUUUACUUUUAUCAUAAAUGGUAUUUGUAAAUAUAUAAAAAAGAAAAUACAUUAAAAUUUUAAUUGGAAAAAAUUAGAAAAUAGUUUUUAUAAUGAUAAUUAUAUAUAAUAUUUAAAUUCAUUAAAGAUACCUUUGUAAUUAACCAUUGUGAGAAUUAACAUGAACGCGACACUUAGGAAACUAACUUCUCAAUAAUAUUAUAGAGUUAUCUAUAUGGAUCACAAUCUUAUUUAUAUGCCAAAUAAUUUCAACCCCUGUAACACUUAAAAACAUAAUUAAUUUAAAAUAUUAAGAAUGAAAUAUUAAAGUUGAGAAUUGUUUUUCAUAAACUGUAGAAUUUGAUUUGUAUAUAAUACUUUAUAAAUUUUAUAAAUUAUAAAAUAAAUUACUAACUUUAAUUUUGGAUUUUUAUAAUUUAAUAUAUUUUAUAAUUAUUAGAUUUAUAUGAAAUUAGCUAACAUAUAAAGUUUUCAAAAUAAAUUCAACUUUAACUUAAUAUGUAUAUAUUCCCCUUUAAGCAUUAUUUUGUUUCCAUUAAUCCAAUACUUAUUUUUGUAAAAGAAAAUGAAUAUAUUUGUACAUCUAGUGUUAGUAAUUUUAAUUACAAAAGAAAAGAUGAAAGCUCAAAAAAAAAACAAAAACAAAAACUUAGCAAAGUGAGGUAUAAGCCAUAUAAAAACAAAAACCAAUGUGAGUGUAUAAAAGUUGAAUCGAACCAAACCAACCGAAAAUUUAAGGUCCAAAUCCAAACCACUAAACUCAACAAUCACUUUUAGCCCAUGCUUCUCUCUCAACGUCGUCCUCUAGCUUCUUCUAGCAUUUUUGCAUGUUCUGUUGUUCUUCUCGCUUCAUCCUCCGCCCAAUACCUGAGAGAAAGAAGAAUCAAAAUCGUAAAUGACCUCUAGAGCAGAUCCAUCUACAUUUAAUUUCCAUGCUGGUCUGAAUCAAGACGAAACGGCUGCCAUCGAGGAGUACGGCUUCUCAGUUGGAGCUCUUCCUAUCAGGUAUCUCGGGCUACCUCUAACGAGCAGGAAACUGAAAGUCUCAGAAUACUCGCCUCUGCUUGAUAAGAUAACAUCGAGGUUUCAUUCUUGGACAACAAAAUCUAUAUCUUAUGCGGUGCGUCAUCUCUUAAUAUCGACGGUGAUUAAUGGAACAGUAAACUUGGGCUUGCGUAGCUAUGUUGUUUGGAACAAGACUCUCCUGCUGCGGUUGAUUUGCUUACUCUGCUCAACCAGCGGCUCUCUAUAGGUGGCUUGGCAUAGAUUCCAUCAUUGCACAUACAGUUAUUCAUUCUGGAGCCAAGCAGAAACACAAUCGCAGUCAUGAUAUGCAAAAUUGGAAACAGUGAAACUGCAAGCUUCUGGUUCGAUGUGUGGACUCCUAAGGAGCCGCUAAUUAAAGCUAUUGGCUCUGAUGGUCCUCGCAGACUCCGUAUCUCGAUAACUGCUUCUGUCAAAGAUGCAUGCAACAACAACAUAUGGAACUUGCCAUCCCCAAGAUCAGAUCAGGAAAUAACCCUCCAUGCUUUCUUGACAACAAUUGAUACACCAACAGAGGGAAUGGUAACGGAUGAAUAUUUUUGGUCAACAGAAGCAACCAGCGCUGGCUCUUUUUCUUCAUCUAAAACAUGGGAAAUUCUCAGACUGUGAAGUGACUCUAAAGCUUGGGCCUCGACUGUCGGUUUAAGGGGCAGUACCUAAACACGCCUUCAACAUGUGGAUCGCAACCCUUGACUGAUUGCCAACGAGAAAACUAUUAGCGUACUGGGGGAUGAACAUCCAGUCACAUUGCUGCCUAUGUUCCGCUGAGCCUGAGACCAGAGAUCAUCUUCUGCUCUCUUGUCAAUUUGAAGUAGAGAUAUGGAACAAAGUAUUCUUCCGGAUAGGAAGGCCCACGUCUCAUUUUGGAUCGUGGCCAGACUUACUCCGCUGGAUCCAGGAGCCUCACACGAAAUGAAUCAAGCUACUAAGGCUGCUCUCCUCUCAGGCGGCAGUCUACAGCAUAUGGAGACAGAGAAAUAACGUGUUUCAUUACCAAACAACAGUUCUUCCUCUGGUCAUCUUCAGGGAAAUCGACAGAACCGUAAGAAACAUCAUCCAUGCCAGGAAGUGUAGACGACGGUUCCGCAAACUUAUGGAAUGUUGGCUAAUCUAAUUUCGGGGUUAGCCUCCAACAAGCUGCUUAACUUUAUUGAUUUCUUGUUUCUACUUUAUUUGCCAAGAAAUCUUUUGUAUAGGAUGCAACAAUGCAACCUUAACCACUUCAUUUAUGAUAUUAACAUUCAUAGCAAAAAAAAAAAAGAAAAAAAAAACUAAUCAAAAUGGCCUAUAUUGUCAAAAGUCAUGCAAUCCUCAUAAUUCUUUGAUUUUGCUUGACAAAGAAAGAAGAAAAAACAACUAGUUUUCUUUGGUCAAAAAAGAAAGAAAAAACUUUAAGAUGAUAUUUUCUAUACCUAGUAAUGGAUAAAGAGUUUCUUUCAACUUCAAUGGUAAUAAACAAGUUUUAUAACCCUAACUAUUAUCUAACCCUAACAUAUAGAGAUAUGUCAAAAAAAAAAACCUAA